rnacentral:rRNA from 1 species
GAUGAACGCUGGCGGCGUGCCUAAUACAUGCAAGUCGAGCGAACGGACGAGAAGCUUGCGUCUCUGAUGUUAGCGGCGGACGGGUGAGUAACACGUGGAUAACCUACCUAUAAGACUGGGAUAACUUCGGGAAACCGGAGCUAAUACCGGAUGAUAUUUUGAACCGCAGGGUUCAAAAGUGAAAGACGGUCUUGCUGUCACUUAUAGAUGGAUCCGCGCUGCAUUAGCUAGUUGGUAAGUUAACGGCUUACCAAGGCAACGAUGCAUAGACGACCUGAGAGGGUGAUCGGCCACACUGGAACUGAGACACGGUCCAGACUCCUACGGGAGGCACCAGUAGGGAAUCUUCCGCAAUGGGCGAAAGCCUGACGGAGCAACGCCGCGUGAGUGAUGAAGGUCUUCGGAUCGUAAAACUCUGUUAUUAGGGAAGAACAUAUGUGUAAGUAACUGUGCACAUCUUGACGGUACCUAAUCAGAAAGCCACGGCUAACUACGUG